CGGAAAACAUCAGGUCCUAGUACAGCUAAGAGCUAACAAUCUCUUGGUGGCUGUUCCCUUGCUCCACUUACAUAGUUAUAUGUCUCUACGUUCAAGCUUAGCCGUCGUUGGUUCAACAAUCUUUGUCAUGAGUGCUUGUCUGUAUUGCUCAUGGACUGCCCAUCUAACAUGUGUGCCACGCAGAUGACUGUGUCUAGUAGCAUAGAAAAAACUUGUGUGUACCCCUUGAUUGUGUCGAAUAAAACAGAAAGCUCAAAGUUUACAUGAAUUACUAAAUUGUUUCUCUUUAAAAUCCUUAAACUAUGUACCAUAUAUGCAUAUGGGAUUAAGAUAAUUA
rnacentral:sRNA from 1 species